rnacentral:pre_miRNA from 1 species
GUUGAGCUAACAGGGGCGACCUGAGAACAUGUGAAGAAAAAAAAAAAAACCUCUAAUUGAUGUUUUUUAUUUUUUGAUAUGUUCUCAUGUUGCCCCUGAUAGAUCCAU